GGUUUGGGCAUGCGCCCAUCACAUUGAUCUCCACGACUGUACAGGAAUUAUUGCCAUACAAGAUUAUGCAGAUGCCAUUUGGCCUGCAGAACAGAGGCCCAUUACCAUUACCCUACUUGAAAUGCAAUGGAAACACACCUGCAGAUGUGCAUACCAUCAAAUGUACAACCCUGACCUCCUUCAUCCCCAGUGGUUCCAUGGUCAUUGGUUAUCACACCUGCACUGGCUCCACAAUCCUCCCCAUCCACACCAGGCUUGGCUCCGUCCCCAUCCACACCUGCACUGGCUCUGUCCACACAUGAACUGGCUCCAUCCACAACCACACAUGCUCAGUCUUCAUUUACUGCCUCCAAGAAUCAAACAGAGAGUAAAUGUCACACUGUUUAGUGGUUAUGCUAAAGAAGUAUUUGGACACAUUAAAAGGAAACAUACUGAUCAUUCAAAAGAUAUAACAAUGCAAUCACAUCUGUCCACUGUGUGUACUGACUCAUCAAACAGAGUGUCAGCUGUUCAGAGGAGUGGCCGUGGUUUUUCUGUAUCGGUGCAUUUGCAAAGAAAGACAUCAUUACGUCAGGUGUGAGUUGGAGGAGUGCUGGCAAUACAAGCUGCUUUCUUACUGGAAACGAAGCCACGUGCAAUCAUCUCCAAAUUCACUGAUUGCCAGAACUCCUCAAUGUCUACUUCCCCCUUGACCCCACAUUCCAGUGACAAGUACAAUUCUUCUGGCUUGUCUUUAGGACCUGAGCAUGAAUCAACAUUCAAACAACAUUCAUACCACACAAUUGAGGACACUGAAGAGUGUGGACCUCAAUGUGAAGAAGUCACAAAUAGCAAAAACGUUGCUGCCUGCCAAGCAUGAUGGUCUUUAAGAUACCAUUUAGCUCAAAAUGAACUGCUCAACUACGUACUGGACAUUGAGAGCCCAGGGAAUGAGCUGAUUGAAAUGCAUGCCUGACCCGUGCAAACCUUUGGGUCUUGGGCUUGAACAGAGUCAUGGAGGCAACUGGAUAUUGCAUAUAGGAUAAUGCCUGGAAAACGGACCGAAAAGACAGGCCUUGAUUUGCAUAAAAAAUCAAGUAAGUCUGCAUUGUACAUGGUGCUGGAUGCCCAAUUUGACUACACAAUUCCAUGGAAAAAUGUUUGCCCACUACACUGAGGAGUCCAAAGUCUUCCUGAGAGGUGAUCUUCAGCCUGUAUUUAGAUUGAGAAAAAGGAGGUUUGAAGAAAUCUCUCAGGAAGAGACUUUCCAUCACAGGCAGGUAUCACCAUCACAGGCAGAUGAAACAAAUAGUUUGUUCCUGCAGCCUGCACUGGAGAAGGCAGUGGUUCAGUCUCCACAAAAAGUGGGUUUUGUUUGAGAGGUAGCAACAUCAGGCCAAAGUCUGUGUCAUGAUGGACCUAAAGACUGCCAGUCAGGUGUGUGUGGAGCACUCUAAUGACCUCAUUGGGUCAGUUCAGCUGCCUCGGAUUCUUUGUAUGGAGGAUGAAGUUGCAGAGGUGCUGGACAGGUUCUUUAUUGCAGAGUUCAUGGAUCAUGAUUGUAGAGUAUGAACGGAGAAUCAUGAUUCUGAAUGCAAUGCACACAUUCUUGCAGAUGGUCAUAAAACCCCCACACAUCCUCGUGCCUUCUAAAACCCCCUUCUGAGAUGGGAAAGGAAUGUGAGACUUUGAAUGGCACAAUGUGUUCCUAACAUUUAAAACCCAGAAGGGCUUAAUUUUAAGGAAAUAUGUUUUAUCCCUGUAUGCUUGUGUAUUUUUGUUGUUAGAUCAAACUAGUUAAAAUUGUAAGUUGUGUAGUUAAACUCUGACGGCUUAAAUAAACAGCCUAAGUAUCUAUAUUCACCUUUUAAUUGCACCAAAUACACGCUUCUUGGUAUCAAAUUAAACCUUACGACUUGUCCUAGCUGAAUAUAAAUAUAAGGUUACAUUAAAAUGUAUUCUGCUAUGUGUUACCAUCUUUUGAGUGAUUCAACCCAAAAUCCUGACCUGGUCGUAAAUCAUGCAAAUGACUAGCCGUGACAAGACAAAGGGAACCAUCUCGCGCCCAAAACGGAGGCGUCCCAUUGGGCCAUUCCUCCCAAAGGAGGCGUGACCUCCCUACCUUAAAAGUCAGCAUCCGGCAUUGAAUUGUCCUCUUACUCUCUUGUCCUGUGUUCUCUGAUCUCUCUCUCCAAGCUCUCUUGCUUUUUCUUUGUGUUACUUUCGUCAGACAUGUCUUUUGUUUUAUUUGGCGUUUAUCUCAGUCUUUUAUUUGUCUUCAGACAAAGCUCAACACUCUACGUUUUUGGAGCAGUCCGAUAUCCUCCGGGUGAAAGGACUCUCUCUCAGUUUCAACCAUUACUCCUAAGAUGCUUUGAACUCCCCGCGAGUGAUCCACGCUCGGGGAGCACCAACAGAAAUCCUCCAUCUCACGGACGCCACGAGGACACGAUAAACACGCAGUCUUGUUCAGCGACACAAAGGUCCAUUGUGCAAGUAUUAUUUCAUCUAAAUUCCAAUGCGUUAAAGUGUGUAACUCCUUGAUGGCUGUGAAGGUUUAACGAAUUGUAACAAGUUUGCUAUAUCAUAAUCUCUUUAUUUUCCUCACUGUUUUGCUUUGUUUGUUUCAUGUUAUAUGUUAAAUGUUUGUUUGUUAAGUUUGUGAUAUAUCCUAGUUCCUUGUAUUAAACCCAAUUAUACGCUUGAUUGUCUGUGUUUGUUGGUCAUAAAACAAAGCCUCUUCAUGUGCGAUCUAAAGCUACGAGCUGAUAUUAUCAAAGUAAGUUAACGUGCUUUGAUUAAGUAAGCUUAUACUAAGAAUAAACCUUCUGGAGAAUUGAUCACGAGUAUUUAGCAAAGCGGUUCGCUGGACGAACUGGUUAGUUGCGAUACGGGUCAAUUCCCUUAAGGUGUUCUGAAAAUUAAUAUAGCCUGUCUGCAUAUGAUGUAUAUUCCUAAUUAAUUAUAAUUCGUUGUGUUUAAUUAUCUAUAUAUAUUUGAAGCAGACUCUUGGACUAUAUAAGCCCUUUUUGGGGCAAUUUGUAUGUAUUGUUAUCUAGUUCAAACCGUAUGAUUAAUCAUUGAUUACGAUCAUUAAAAUUAAUUGUACAUUCCCCAAACCUGAACCUAGAUACCCUGCAUGAUGCUGUAGAGCCAUUGAUGUUUGUUUUUACAUUUAUGCAGGACAUGCAGACAUUUCUGAAGCAUGUUGUUGACCAAAUGAAGCUGAGGAUCAACUGCCGAACAGAACAAAUUGAGUAAUUGUAAUAAUAGUCCCUUUAAUUUAUUUUGUGUUGGUUUAUCAUGUAUGUAUUAUGUUAAAUAGUCCACAUUGUUUCAUAGUGGUGUUAUAGAA